rnacentral:rRNA from 1 species
UACGGAGGGUGCAAGCGUUAUCCGGAUUCACUGGGUUUAAAGGGUGCGUAGGUGGGCUAGUAAGUCAGUGGUGAAAUCUCCGGGCUUAACCCGGAAACUGCCAUUGAUACUAUCUGUCUUGAAUAUCGUGGAGGUGAGCGGAAUAUGUCAUGUAGCGGUGAAAUGCUUAGAUAUGACAUAGAACACCAAUUGCGAAGGCAGCUCACUACGCGAAUAUUGACACUGAGGCACGAAAGCGUGGGGAUCAAACAGG